rnacentral:rRNA from 1 species
CCUCCGGGAGGCAGCAGUAGGGAAUUUUCGUCAAUGGGCGCAAGCCUGAACGAGCAAUGCCGCGUGAACGAGGAAGGUCUUCGGAUCGUACAGUUCUGUUGAAGGGGAAAAAGAGCGGAGAGAGGAACUGCUUUCUGCUUGAUCUUACCCUACGAGGAAGUCACGGCUAACUACUUGCCAGCAGCCGCGUUAAUACGUAGGUGGCGAGCGUUUUCCGGAAUGAUUGGGCGUAAAGGGUGCGUAGGAGGCCUGCUAAGGCUGGAGAGAAAGGGACCGGCUCAACCGGUACAGGUUCUGGAAAUUGGCGGGUGAGGGAGCAGGAGAGGGCGGUGGAA